AGAGAAGUUACAAAGGGCGAACAGAGGAUGCCUUGGCUUCUGGUAGCGAAGAAGGACGCGGAAAGCUGCGAAAAAGUACGGGGAUUGGCCAACACGAAUUGAUCCGUACGUCUCCGAAUGGGGCAACCCACUUGACUGAAGGUCAAGUACACUUACGAGUGAGCAAACGCAGGGAACUGAAACAUCUCAUUACCUGCAGGAAAAGAAAGAAAAAUCGAUUUCCUUAGUAGUGGCGAGCGAACAGGAAAGAGCCUAAACCGAUGUUGUUGCGGCAAUAUCGGGGUUGAAGGAUUAUCCAUUAUACUUUGUUAUAUAAUUAGAAUUACCUGGAAAGGUAAGCCGUAGAGGGUGAUAGCCCCGUAUAAGUAGGAAUAAUGAAGUUAGCGAUAACACCUGAGUAGGGCGGGACACGAGGAAUCCUGUCUGAAUCUACGGGGCCCAUCCCGUAAGGCUAAAUAUGACCAGAAGACCGAUAGUGAACCAGUACUGUGAAGGAAAGGUGAAAAGAACCCCGAACAGGGGAGUGAAAAAGAACCUGAAACCAUACGCUUACAACCUGUCGGAGCCACUUUGUGUGGUGACGGCGUGCCUAUUGAAUAAUGAGCCUACGAGUUACUAAUCACUAGCGAGGUUAAGUGCGGGAAAGCACGGAGCCGAAGCGAAAGCGAGUCUGAAUAGGGCGGUUAGUUAGUGGUUGUAGACGCGAAACCUUGCGAUCUACCCUUGAGCAGGAUGAAGGUUGGGUAACACCAACUGGAGGUCCGAACGAAUAAGCGUUGAAAAGCUUCUCGAUGACUUGAGGGUAGGGGUGAAAGGCUAAUCAAGCUGGGAAAUAGCUCGUACUCCCCGAAAUGCCUUUAGGGGCAGCGUUGUAAUAGAGAGUCUACCGGAGGUAGAGCUACUGAUUGGAUGCGGGGGCUUCACCGCCUACCAAAUCCUGACAAACUCCGAAUGCCGGUAGUAUGAUUUACAGCAGUGAGCCAGUGGGUGCUAAUGUCCACUGACAAAAGAGGAACAACUCAGACCAGCAACUAAGGUCCCCAAGCAUAUGCUAAGUUAAACUAACGAUGUUUUGUUGCAUAGACAGCUAGGAUGUUAGCUUGGAAGCAGCUAUUCAUUCAAAGAG
rnacentral:rRNA from 1 species